rnacentral:rRNA from 1 species
GACGAACGCUGGCGGCGUGCUUAACACAUGCAAGUCGAACGGAAAGGCCCUGCUUUUGUGGGGUGCUCGAGUGGCGAACGGGUGAGUAACACGUGAGUAACCUGCCCUUGACUUUGGGAUAACUUCAGGAAACUGGGGCUAAUACCGGAUAGGAGCUCCUGCUGCAUGGUGGGGGUUGGAAAGUUUCGGCGGUUGGGGAUGGACUCGCGGCUUAUCAGCUUGUUGGUGGGGUAGUGGCUUACCAAGGCUUUGACGGGUAGCCGGCCUGAGAGGGUGACCGGCCACAUUGGGACUGAGAUACGGACCAGACGCCUACGGGAGGCAGCAGUGGGGAAUAUUGCACAAUGGGCGGAAGCCUGAGGCAGCAACGCCGGGUGCGGGAUGACGGCCUUCGGGUGGUAAACCGCUUUCGCCUGUGACGAAGCGUGAGUGACGGUAAUGGGUAAAGAAGCACCGGCUAACUACGUG